rnacentral:rRNA from 1 species
UGCAAGUCGAACGGUAACAGGAAGCAGCGUUGCUGCUUCGCUGACGAGUGGCGGACGGGUGAGUAAUGUCUGGGAAACUGCCUGAUGGAGGGGGAUAACUACUGGAAACGGUAGCUAAUACCGCAUAACGUCGCAAGACCAAAGAGGGGGACCUUCGGGCCUCUUGCCAUCGGAUGUGCCCAGAUGGGAUUAGCUAGUAGGUGGGGUAACGGCUCACCUAGGCGACGAUCCCUAGCUGGUCUGAGAGGAUGACCAGCCACACUGGAACUGAGACACGGUCCAGACUCCUACGGGAGGCAGCAGUGGGGAAUAUUGCACAAUGGGCGCAAGCCUGAUGCAGCCAUGCCGCGUGUAUGAAGAAGGCCUUCGGGUUGUAAAGUACUUUCAGCGGGGAGGAAGGGAGUAAAGUUAAUACCUUUGCUCAUUGACGUUACCCGCAGAAGAAGCACCGGCUAACUCCGUGCCAGCAGCCGCGGUAAUACGGAGGGUGCAAGCGUUAAUCGGAAUUACUGGGCGUAAAGCGCACGCAGGCGGUUUGUUAAGUCAGAUGUGAAAUCCCCGGGCUCAACCUGGGAACUGCAUCUGAUACUGGCAAGCUUGAGUCUCGUAGAGGGGGGUAGAAUUCCAGGUGUAGCGGUGAAAUGCGUAGAGAUCUGGAGGAAUACCGGUGGCGAAGGCGGCCCCCUGGACGAAGACUGACGCUCAGGUGCGAAAGCGUGCGGAGCAAACAGGAUU